CAGCAGCCGCCACGGUAAUACGUAGGUGGCAAGCGUUGUCCGGAAUUAUUGGGCGUAAAGGGCUCGCAGGCGGUUUCUUAAGUCUGAUGUGAAAGCCCCCGGCUCAACCGGGGAGGGUCAUUGGAAACUGGGAAACUUGAGUGCAGAAGAGGAGAGUGGAAUUCCACGUGUAGCGGUGAAAUGCGUAGAGAUGUGGAGGAACACCAGUGGCGAAGGCGACUCUCUGGUCUGUAACUGACGCUGAGGAGCGAAAGCGUGGGGAGCGAACAGGAUUAGAGACCCCAGUAGUCCCUGUCUCUUAUAC
rnacentral:rRNA from 1 species